AACUUUUUAUCUCCUUUUCCACCUCUUUUUUUGCGAAAUAUUUCUCAGUUUUUCCCGAUUGCCAAACUCAGCCUACGAUUUGUGCGUAUCUGAUUUGUCUUGGAAGGUGCUAUUUGAUUAUUCAAGGUUUUUUGUUUGUCAUUUGAAGACUAGUCAAGAUGGUGAAGUUUACGGCUGAUGAGCUCCGUAGGAUUAUGGACUACAAA